AAUGUUGGGUUAAGUCCCGCAACGAGCGCAACCCUUAUCCUUUGUUGCCAGCGGUCCGGCCGGGAACUCAAAGGAGACUGCCAGUGAUAAACUGGAGGAAGGUGGGGAUGACGUCAAGUCAUCAUGGCCCUUACGACCAGGGCUACACACGUGCUACAAUGGCGCAUACAAAGAGAAGCGACCUCGCGAGAGCAAGCGGACCUCAUAAAGUGCGUCGUAGUCCGGAUUGGAGUCUGCAACUCGACUCCAUGAAGUCGGAAUCGCUAGUAAUCGUGGAUCAGAAUGCCACGGUGAAUACGUUCCCGGGCCUUGUACACACCGCCCGUCACACCAUGGGAGUGGGUUGCAAAAGAAGUAGGUAGCUUAACCUUCGGGAGGGCGCUUACCACUUUGUGAUUCAUGACUGGGGUGAAGUCGUAACAAGGUAACCGUAGGGGAACCUGCGGUUG
rnacentral:rRNA from 1 species